UGAUCUGUGACACUGUGUGAAUACUGGUACUGGUAGAAAAAUGGUCUUUGGCUCAGGAACAAAGCUGAUAGUUCAACUAAACCAGAGUGCAGAACCUUCCUUCUAUAAACUGGGCGAGGGUAAUAACACAGUGUGUAUGGCCACUGGAUUCAGCAAAUACAGUGCACUAGAUAAAGAGGAAACGUUCUCAAAAUACAAGACAGUGCCCACCAGGAUCAAAGAUGAGCCAUUCUUCGAUGAAGUAGUGAUACUGGAAGAGGGUGACACAUGCCCCAAUUCAACAGACGAAGAUGGGAAACCAUGUCAUUUGGAUUUCGGGGGUACUUUUGAAACUGAUGAGAAAAUUAAUUUCCUGUCGCUAACGGUUCUCGGCCUGAGGUUUCUGUUUCUGAAGAGCAUCCUGUUCAACGUGCUGAUGACGAUCCGGGCGUUGUCGAGUUAAGGGGACAGAAUUUCUGUACCAAAGACAUGGAGACCCGACACCAAGGCCACAGAUGCACCGAAUGGAACAAAAGAUUGCAAUAUAAACAGUAGAUUAGUAUUGUUAGCAAUAGCAGCAAAAGUAUACGAUGCUUUAUUGAGUUCAUUCUUUUUAACUACUUUACAAUUUGUAUUCUACCUUUUUGAGGAAUGUUUCCUUUGAAUUGUAUUUCUUAUUUUAUAGCAUGUAUUAAUAAUAAGGAAAUGGCAGUUUAUUAACUGAACUAUAAAUAUGGCUGUCACUAUAUUAGUAAAUGUUGGUGUGUUUUGCUUUGUAAACGGGAAAUCCCAGCUAUUCCAGUUAAUCGUUGGCCGUGGAUGUUAUUAGGUAUCAGGAGCUCACAGCAAUAAAUGUGUGAAGAUGAUUAUGCUUUUUCCCCCCGUUGCACACCUCAUAUCCCAGUUUGCGUAGAAAUGUUUGAACCAUGUGCUGUUCUUUGGUCGUCUGAUUCAUUUUGAUUGUCCUUGUACAUUUUUGACUGAUUAAUAAAACUUUACAAAAAUUUGA